GAUCCCUCUCCAGCUCUUCCAGGGGUCACACAUUUCUACCAUCUCAGACAGGUGGACUCUCAUUCUUAUCCAAGCUGGCAGUGUUAGAAUUCAGGUGCUCAUUUUUUUUUCCUUUGAUUUACCACUGCUCAUUUACAUCUCUGCCCAUUAGAUAGAAUUGUCAAUGCCUUUUUGUUUCUUUUUCCUUUCCCUCCAAAUUACAACUCACCCAACUUGAAUUAGUAGAUAUAUUUUGGAUUUUUCUAAAAAUAUAAGGGGCUUAUUAUCAAUGAAAAUCUGAUCAAAUGAAAGAGACAUGGGGGAUUAUUUGUCCUGUUCCCCAGAAGAGUACAUUUAAAAGGAGGAGGAAUUUGGAUCACUAAAAGAAAAAGAAAAAAAAGAAGGAUGAAACAGUCUCAUUGUGUCACCGAGGCUGAAGUGCAGUGGCAUAAUCAUGGCUUACUGCAGCCCCUACCUCUAGGCUCAAGCAAUCCUCCCAUCUCAGCUUCCUGUGUAGCUAGGAUGGAAAUGUUCUUUUUCUUAAAGUAACUUUGUGGCUGAAAAAAUGAAGACUAUGAAAAGGAAGGCAACCCAAGGCUGGACCUUACUUGAGACUUCUUGCUACCAUUUGGACCAGAAGUCAAACUGGGCAUAAAUCUCUGAAUUACUCAACAAUUGAAAAGUACAUAAACCAGUAUGUUUAUGCCACAUUUUUCUGUUUCCUGAAAGAGCAUUUUAACCAACGUGGUCCAAGCUUCACAGAUUUCAAAGUUCAUUGAGAUGUCUUUAAGCAAAAUCUUAGUGCAUUUUACUGUCAGUGAAAACAAAGAGUUCAAAAAUUAUAUCUUGACAGCAUGGUCAAUUUCCUCUUUGAGAAAAUAAAAAUGUAGUGUGUGUCUGUGUGUUUAUACA
rnacentral:lncRNA from 13 species